rnacentral:rRNA from 1 species
UACGGGGGGGGGCAAGCGUUGUUCGGAGUUACUGGGCGUAAAGGGCUCGUAGGCGGCCAACUAAGUCCGACGUGAAAUCCCCAGGCUCAACCUGGGAACUGCGUCGGAUACUGGAUGGCUUGAAUUCGGGAGAGGGAUGCAGAAUUCCAGGUGUAGCGGUGAAAUGCGCAGAUAUCUGGAGGAAUACCGGUGGCGAAGGCGGCAUCCUGGACCGACAUUGACGCUGAUGAGCGAAAGCUAGGGGAGCAAACGGGA